rnacentral:misc_RNA from 1 species
GAAAUGCGAUAAGUAGUGUGAAUUGCAGAAUUCAGUGAAUCAUCGAAUCUUUGAACGCACAUUGCGCCCCUUUGUAUUCCAUGGGGCAUGCCUGUUCGAGCGUCAUUUGUACCCUCAAGCUCUGCUUGGUGUUGGGUGUUUGUCCCGUCUCCGCGCGUGGACUCGCCCCAAAGUGAUUGGCAGCCGGCGUACUGGUCCGGGAGCGCAGCACAUGUCGCGCAAACGAGUGCCUUGGUACGGCGGCGUCCAUAAGCCCCUCUCUCACGCUCUUGACCUCGGAUCAGGUAGGGAUACCCGCUGAACUUAAGC